UACGAAGGGGGGCUAGCGUUGCUCGGAAUUACUGGGCGUAAAGCGCACGUAGGCGGCUUUCUAAGUCGGGGGUGAAAUCCUGGAGCUCAACUCCAGAACUGCCUUCGAUACUGGAAGCUCGAGUCCGGGAGAGGUGAGUGGAACUGCGAGUGUAGAGGUGAAAUUCGUAGAAUAUUCGCAAGAACACCAGUGGCGAAGGCGGCUCAGCUGGCCCGGUACU
rnacentral:rRNA from 1 species